UACGUAGGGGGCGAGCGUUGUCCGGAUUUAUUGGGCGUAAAGAGCUCGUAGGCGGUUUCGAUAAGUCAGGUGUAAAAACUCCAGGCUCAACUUGGAGAGGCCACCUGAUACUGUCGUGACUAGAGUCCGGUAGGAGGAGCACGGAAUUCCUGGUGUAGCGGUGAAAUGCGCAGAUAUCGGAGGAACACCAGUGGCGAAGGCGACUACCUGGCCUGU
rnacentral:rRNA from 1 species